rnacentral:rRNA from 1 species
UGGGGAAUAUUGGACAAUGGGCGCAAGCCUGAUCCAGCCAUGCCGCGUGAGUGAUGAAGGCUCUAGGGUUGUAAAGCUCUUUCACCGGUGAAGAUAAUGACGGUAACCGGAGAAGAAGCCCCGGCUAACUUCGUGCCAGCAGCCGCGGUAAUACGAAGGGGGCUAGCGUUGUUCGGAUUUACUGGGCGUAAAGCGCACGUAGGCGGACUUUUAAGUCAGGGGUGAAAUCCCGGGGCUCAACCCCGGAACUGCCUUUGAUACUGGAAGUCUUGAGUAUGGUAGAGGUUAGUGGAAUUCCGAGUGUAGAGGUGAAAUUCGUAGAUAUUCGGAGGAACACCAGUGGCGAAGGCGGCUCACUGGACCAUUACUGACACUGAGGUGCGAAAGCGUGGGGAGCAAACAGG